CAGUCGCCGCGGGAAUACGUAGGUGGCAAGCGUUGUCCGGAAUUAUUGGGCGUAAAGGGCUCGCAGGCGGUUUCUUAAGUCUGAUGUGGAAGCCCCCGGCUCAACCGGGGAGGGUCAUUGAAACUGGGAAACUUGAGUGCAGAAGAGGAGAGUGGAAUUCCACGUGUAGCGGUGAAAUGUGUAGAGAUGUGGAGGAACACCAGUGGCGAAGGCGACUCUCUGGUCUGUAACUGGCGCUGAGGAGCGAAAGCGUGGGGAGCGAACAGGAUUAGAUACCCCAGUAGUCCCUGUCUCUUAUACC
rnacentral:rRNA from 1 species